GACGUAGGGUCCAAGCGUUGUCCGGAUUUACUGGGCGUAAAGAGCGCGUAGGCGGCUCGUUAAGUGUGAAGUGAAAUCUCCAGGGCUCAACCCGGAAACUGCUUUACAUACUGGCGAGCUGGAGUGGAUGCAGAGGUUUGUGGAAUUCCUGGUGUAACGGUGAAAUGUGUUGAUAUCAGGAGGAACACCCAUGGCGAGGCAGCAAACUGGGCAUCAACUGACGCUGAGGC
rnacentral:rRNA from 1 species